CGCGUAGGCGGCAUGGCAAGUCUGGUGUAAAAUGCGACGGCUUAACCGUCAGAAUGCAUUGGAAACUGUCAAGCUAGAGUUUUGGAGGGGGAGUUGGAAUUCCUGGUGUAGGGGUGAAAUCUGUAGAUAUCAGGAAGAACACCGGUGGCGAAGGCGAACUCCUGGCCAUGAACUGACGCUAAUGCGCGAAAGCGUGGGGAGCGAACAGGAUUAGAUACCCUGGUAGUCC
rnacentral:rRNA from 1 species